rnacentral:rRNA from 1 species
AGCGAACGCUGGCGGCAGGCUUAACACAUGCAAGUCGAACGGGCGUAGCAAUACGUCAGUGGCAGACGGGUGAGUAACGCGUGGGAACGUACCUCUUGGUUCGGAACAACCCAGGGAAACUUGGGCUAAUACCGGAUAAGCCCUUACGGGGAAAGAUUUAUCGCCGAAAGAUCGGCCCGCGUCUGAUUAGCUAGUUGGUGAGGUAACGGCUCACCAAGGCGACGAUCAGUAGCUGGUCUGAGAGGAUGAUCAGCCACAUUGGGACUGAGACACGGCCCAAACUCCUACGGGAGGCAGCAGUGGGGAAUAUUGGACAAUGGGCGCAAGCCUGAUCCAGCCAUGCCGCGUGAGUGAUGAAGGCCCUAGGGUUGUAAAGCUCUUUUGUGCGGGAAGAUAAUGACGGUACCGCAAGAAUAAGCCCCGCUAACUUCGUGCCAGCAGCCGCGGUAAU